CUUAACACAUGCAAGUCGAGCGGGGAAAGGUAGCUUGCUACCUAACCUAGCGGCGGACGGGUGAGUAAUGCUUAGGAAUCUGCCUAUUAGUGGGGGACAACAUUCCGAAAGGAAUGCUAAUACCGCAUACGCCCUACGGGGGAAAGCAGGGGAUCUUCGGACCUUGCGCUAAUAGAUGAGCCUAAGUCAGAUUAGCUAGUUGGUGGGGUAAAGGCCUACCAAGGCGACGAUCUGUAGCGGGUCUGAGAGGAUGAUCCGCCACACUGGGACUGAGACACGGCCCAGACUCCUACGGGAGGCAGCAGUGGGGAAUAUUGGACAAUGGGCGAAAGCCUGAUCCAGCCAUGCCGCGUGUGUGAAGAACGCCUUUUGGUUGUUAAGCGCAAACAGGAUUAGAUACCCUGGUAGUCCAUGCCGUAAAACGAUGUAUACUAGCCNGUUGGGGGCCUUUGAAGGCUUUANGUGGCGCAGCUAGCGGAUAAGUAAGACCGCUUGGGGAGUACGGUCGCAAGACUAAAACUCAAAUGAAUUGACGGGGGCCCGCACAAGCGGUGGAGCAUGUGGUUUAAUUGANGCAACGCGAAGAACCUUACGUGGUCUUGA
rnacentral:rRNA from 1 species